UACGUAGGGGGCGAGCGUUGUCCGGAAUCAUUGGGCGUAAAGCGCGUGUAGGCGGCCCGGUAAGUCCGCUGUGAAAGUCCAGGGCUCAACCCUGGGAUGCCGGUGGAUACUGUCGGGCUUGAGUACGGAAGAGGCGAGUGGAAUUCCUGGUGUAGCGGUGAAAUGCGCAGAUAUCAGGAGGAACACCAAUUGCGAAGGCAGCUCGCUGGGACGUUACUGACGCUGAGACGCGAAAGCGUGGGGAGCAAACAGG
rnacentral:rRNA from 1 species